CUUCUGUAGACAUCCUGAGACAUCCCAGAAAGUCAUGGAGAAGCCCACAACUCUGUCCCUGAAACCAUCUGUCUAGAAUUCCUUCCGGCUGUGCUACAGUGUGGUCCUUAUAGCUCCUGUCCCUACCUACUGAGAGGGAGAGGAAAGCCUCCCUGUCUUCUUGGCUUUUUCACUCAACACCCUGAUGCAACAGUGGCCUUAACUCUGCAGUCAGACCUGUCUGGGUGUCCCCACUCAGCCAUGACCCUGCUGCAGACAAGCCAUGUUCUUGUGACUCUGAAGAACACAACUGUCAGAUCCCAGGCUAUGCCUCAUGGAGGAGCUUCUGUGACGACAGCAAGAUGGGCGGACCUGCAUUAUUCCACAGGCCCUCUGACACCCCAACAGAGACUGGCAGGAGCAAGUAGUCUGAGUCCCUCCUGGAGUGGCCCUCCCAGGAGUUAUCCAUGCUGCUCAGCUGGGCCAGUGUCCAUCCCCUUCAACCCCCAGGAAGCCACUCAAGCCUGAAAGAAUGCUCCUCAUGUAGGCAGGUGUGCAAACUGCCCCAGUCCGUACCAGGACCCAGAAUUCCUUGUCACUAUCUUAGGCGUUGCUACAGGAGUCCCCAGUAGGAAUAAGCCCAGCUAAGAGCUGGUGCUCAGGGAACCCCAGAGCUUCAGUGGCAUCACAGAUGUCCUGGGUCCAGAGAGGCACAGACUCAGGGUUUCACCACCGAUUAACACCUGUGUGGUUUCCAGGGUGGCAGAGCUACAGACUCAACCUCCAGGGCCAAGCCUACAUUAUUCUGUAGACAGGAAGGCAGUGGUUUUUCCUUGGCCCUCCUCUCAGACCCACCAGGAGGAUGAGGUCUGUAUCUCACCCUGUGGAGUCUUCAAACACAAGAUUCCACUUCUGUACCAGACCCCUAAGCAUGCAGUCUUGAGCAGGAAAGGGAAGCUGAGGAGUCAAGGCUCUUCCGUCAUUCCUGCAGCCCUUGGGGCCUAAGCAGGGAGGCGUGGGCAGAGCUGGGGCCAGGUGGCCAGAUGAGCUGAGGACUGGAGGAGUUCAGCUUUAAAAGUAGGGGGUGCCCUUAAGGCUGUAAGAUCUGUGUCCUACAAGGUCCCCUUCACUUUGCAUUUCUAGCAGGUCACAGGGAGGUUUUCACCCAAGUGCCCCUGCUGAGCACAGUGAGGAGUCCUACCCACACCCUUAUGUGCAGAAAACCAGGCCUUUGUCCUGGUUCAGCUCUACAUGGAGUCUACCCAGCCUGAGACCCUCCCAGUUGCUUCCUACCCUGGCUGGGCAGGGUCUAUGGUCCUCUGGCAUGCUCGAGGUCUUUAAUGAAGGCCAUGUUCCCCUGAAGAAUUGUAGCCUGCUUCCCUCUUGUCUUUCUUCCCAAAGGUCAGGGUUAUAUGGCCCCUGUUUCCUUUGGAUUCCCUAGCCAGGUUGCCCCAGGAACCCCCCCCAAGCACCCCCAGUACCAUACAAUUUUUUUUUUAUUUCUCAUGUUUAAUCUCAGCUUGUUAAGGGACUCCCAUCGUAGAGCAGGAAAACCCAAACUAGGCACUUUAAUGUCUUUUUCCUCUACCAAAUUGUACAACAAAGCAAAACAAAACAAAAAAACCAAAAACUCUUAGGGGUUUCUGCAGACACCGGCACACGUAUCCAGAGCCCUACUCUGAUAGAAGGGGCUGGGUCUCCCGGGCUGAACCCUCCCCUCACCCUCCCCACAAUCAUGCUACAAUCAUGGCCUGUGUCAUUUCUGUGGUCAUCUCUUAGUCAUAUCUCCUAAGGUAUUGGUCCCUGUUCGUAUAGCCACUCUCUCAAGGCCUGUCCCUCAAGGGAAACUGGGUACCACAGGUCCAGGCCUCUACCCAGCAUUCAUUUCUCUUUUCAGUCUUCCCAGCUGUACCCUCUUUUCCUCCUGAGUCUUGGUGAUUCACCAACAAGAGGCAACUGCUGUGCUUGUGCCUGUUGUGGGCUAGGAGGGCCGUCUCUUGGGAAUGUGUCCCUUGGUCUCUGAUGCCUUCAGCUGACAGCCAUCUUCCCACAGCAGGCCAGUGUUUCUGGGACUCACAUGCCAUGUGCUUGGGGAAUCCUCCCCAGGGUGAGGGAAUGAACUGUUUACUGUGUGUGGUGUCAUUUUGCAAGGUGCUGGCCCACCCUCACCCUUCUGUGCAGAAGGCUGGGCCUGUGUCUUGGCUCAGCUCUACAUGGAGUCUACCCAGUCUGAGACCCUCUCAGUUGCUUCCUAUCCUGGCUGGGCAGGGACCAUGGUCCUCUAGCAUUCUCAAGGUACCCUGCAUCAGCUAAGCAACAAGGCUGGUCACAGCCCAGACAACUGGGGGCGUGCACUCGGAAGGGUUACUGCGUCAUAUCCAGUCAGUACUCAGCCUGAAGAUGUGCUGGGCUCUCUGAGCAGGCUGGGUGAGUCCACUCAUGUAUUCCUUCACUGGAUGCAGAUGUCUAAAUGCUAGACGGUAUCUGGAGAUCCUUUUGUGAGACGCUCAGUUAUUUGUCCAGAUUCAUACCUGAGGCAGUAUUCAAACUCACAGAGUCAGGCCCAGCACGCACGACCUGAGUUCAUCUUCCUGUCUCUUUAAGGCCAGUGUUUCACAUGGCCAACUCUCCCUGCCCCAACUCUGCUGCAGCUCUUCAAGCCCCACCCAUGCUCCUGCCCGCACCCCCAGGCAUCCACUCUUAGAAACUCAGAAGGAACCUCUCUGCAAAGGUAGAAAUGAGAGUCACUGACUGCAUCAUUGCAGAGCAUGGAGCCAGUGUGAGGCACACCCUAAGAAACCCAGAAAGGUACAGACAGGAUGCUAGGGGCGGGGAACACAUGAUUUCCAGCCAAAUCCCGUUGGGCCCUAAGACCAUGGCUGCUCCUUUCCAAGGAUGGCUCACUCCAAGCUCACCUUACCUACUGGUAAGCUAGGUAACUUCCUGGCUUCAUGAAGUGGUGUUAAACAAAGGGUUACAAUAAAUAUCUAUUUUUAUGGCAAGAGGCAAUUGUAUGAGAAAGGCUGGCAAAUGGUGAGGGAUUGAAUGCACAGCCUUGUGCAGAGGGAGGAGGGGAGGAAGAGAUAAGAUUUCCUUCAGGUCCCAAGGAGCACUCCUUCAGAAAUGAACAUGUCCAUGUCCGAGUGCUCUGAGGAAAACACACUAAGAAACGGGAGUGGGAACCCCUCCCAUUAUUUUCUGAGGAAGCAAAGCCUCUUGUUUAAUACUUCUGUCCUUUUACCUUUCUCCCCCUGUAAACCCUCUGAUGUCACCUUGGACCAGCUACCUCCUUGGCUAUGAAUGGCCGAGAAUGCCCUGUGCUCACUGUGAGAUGCCAGAGACCCCCCGAGUACCUGUGCGAGUGUGGCCCCUUCUGUGUGCCAUGUGGCCAGCCUCUCCUAUCCUAUUGGCUUUGGCCUGAAGCUUGCCCCAGCUCCAGGGAUCUCUGCCUACAUCUGCCUGCUGAACCCUGCCAUUCUUGCUUUUCUCAUCUUCUGGAUCCCUUUCCCAACCAUGAGCUCCUGGGGACUUGUUUUCUGCUGCCCAGAGGCCAUUUUCAUUCCACACUUGAUCUCACCUGGGCUAGAACAUGAAUUCUAAAGUGUAGAGUCAGACCUGGCUGUUCCUUCCUAUCUGUAGGAUUUGGACAAGCUCUUUCACCUUCAGAGGUCUCUCGAUCUCUAAAAUGGUCAUGAAGAUGCUGGCCUCAUAGGUCGCCAGGACAAUUGGACUAGGACAUUUUCCGGGACAAUCCAAAGGCACAGUAGCCACCUCAGAGUCUCCAGAUAGUCCACUUUGUAGACUCAUUCCAUUUUUUUAAAGUCUGGGCCAAUGAAAUGUUUCUGGGAUGGAGCCGACAGACCAGGGACAGACUGAGAAAAGCUUCCGCUACGUCAUCAGAGCUCCCAGCAGCGACGGCUCCGAUGUGAUAAACGUGGAUGUGAAGAUUGACACGUGCUGGGUGUUCCGAGAUGUGGAGGAGAGCGACAAGGAGCAGGGAUGCCUUCCAGAAGCAGCCAGCAGCCUGCACUUGGACACAGGGCUGCUCAGGGAGCAGCUAGAAUCCUCCGAGCGGAAGCUGCUGGCAGCUGUGGACAAACAUGUGAUUUCAGAGUCAGGGCUGAGGAACAGGGUCCAGGAGCUGGAGCUGUCGGAGAGGAGGCUUCUCUUGAAGGUGGAGCAACUGAGCGCCUGUGUGGCCCAGGAAAGAAGCGCCUCACUCCACGCCCAGGAGCAGCUGCAGGCACUGCAGGGGGAGCUGGUCAGCUGGGUUCAGGAGGCAGAGAGCGCGGCCCGACGGCAGCGGCGUCUGCAGGAGCGGCUGCGGCGCAAGGACGAGGCGCUGGCACGGCAGGCGGCCACCCUGGAGCGUUGCGGGCGGGUGCAGCGCCAGCAGCUGGGCCUGGUGCGGGAGCAGGAGCGCGUGCUGCGGGCGCAGGUGCAGCGGAUGGAGCGCGAUGUGCAGCGCCUAGGCCGCGCUGCGGGACUUCUGCUGGCACAGCUGCAGGCCCCCGACCCGCUGCCUAGUGCGAGUAGCUCCGGGCCGCAGCUUCAGGCCGAUCCCCCGGGCGUCCCCGAGGCCGCUGAGCUGAACGCGUUGCGGGCCAGGGCGGAGCGCGCCGAGCGGGAGCGGGCAGAGGCGGCGCGCAGGCUGCGGGAGCACAGCGCCACCGAGCGGCAGCUGCGGGAGCAGCUGGAGGAACUGCGCUGCUGCGUGUACGGGCUCACGCUGUCGGAGAUCGGCCUGCACAGCCAGGUGGAGGAGCUCGCCCAGCAAAACCGGCGCCUGCGGUCCCAGCUGGGGCACGGUAGCCCGGGUGCCUUGGACUGCGCACAGAGUGAUUCUCUGCCCCGCUCCAGGGCAGAGGUACUGGAUCCCUGCAGUAGCCAAGGCCGCCACAGUGAUGCUCAUGGAUGUCAGGUCCCAGCAGGCCAGCUUUCAGAAGAGUCCUGUGGCUGUGCUGAAGGUGGAGCAGAGCCCUGCAUGGUGGUGCCAGUAAGGACCAGAGACAAGCUCCAGAGAGACCCGCCAGGGUCUGAGCAUAGACAGGGUACUCUUCUCCAGCGCCACCUAGGUGGACAGGUUCUUUGGCCGCUGUAUGGCUGUCCCCCAGGGCCAAGCACGGAUGAGCCACUCUGCUCUUUGAACCUGGCAGGAGUUUCAGAGACUCUCCAAGAUGCUGGAGCCCAGGAACCCCUACUGUUUUUACCCAUAUCCAUGCUCCAGCUCUGGGGACCUGCUAGAGAACCAGAGAUCCUACUGCCAUCUCUGCUCCAGGAACGUCCCCUACAUGAACUUCAGACCCAAGAAGAUGCAGCCAGCAAGCCCUCACCUGCGCCAGAGGCUUUGACACAUCCUGGCUGGCACUGUAAUCUGGCGAGGAGCCAUGACACCUUCCUCAGCCAGGAGUCCCGACUCAUUUCAAAUGGCUCGUUUCUCACAAAAGGGCCAAAGGAGCAGAGAGACGUGUGGAAGGAAAGAGGUGGGCCUCCAGCUGCAAGUGCAGAGAAGUUGGGGGCGAUGGGAACCUUGGAUGGGAUAAAAUCAGAAAUGGAUGACAAGUGCCCGCUGGUCCUGGAGAGCAGUGAGAAGCUGAUCUUGGACACUGAGGUCCAAGCCCCAGACAGCAUGCAGGAAGGGAGCAAAGCUUCAGAUACCCAGGCUGAGGCCCACUUUCCUUGCUUCCGGUCAGACUGUCUACUACUGCCUCUGCAUGGGAUGACCCCUAGGUCACAGGAAGGUCCUGAAUCCCUGAGCAAGAGAGGGAGUAUGGGAGGAUAUGGCUGGGAACUCUUGGAAAAUCUGUCUUCAGAGGAGGAAGAGGGUCCCAGCUUCAGCACUCAUGGAACCCGAGAGCCAAGGAUAAAUGGUACCCAGCUCCCAGCAGGAAAGGGCAAAGAAGUCUGGAGGAGAACACAGGGUGAGAAGGGCCACCAGCUGUGCUUUGGAGACACUCAGCUCCUGCAGAAGGAGAGAUCUGGGUAUGAAGAACAAGAGAAGGAGGUGAAGGUCCAAGUGACAUUUAACCCGGCUUCUGUGGGAAUCUCUGAGCGGCCUGAGUUCAAGGCUGAUGUGGGUCAGGAACAGUGUUUACUAAUGGGUGAUCAGGAUUUGCUGCAGGUUCCUAAAUGGACCUCAGCAGAUAUCAUCAAUGAUGGUUCUUGCCCCUCACAGGCUCUGAUCAUAGGACAGAACAGGUAUGCCCUUCAGACAGACACACUGAAGAGGGAGGUGGAGGCCUGCUUCCAGGAGCUGAACAACCUGAAGAUUGUCUGUGGAGAUCCCCAGCAGGUGUCCGAAUUGACAGGAGAGAGCCAGAGUAUCACUCACAUGUGGUGGGGUACUGAGGAGGGUGUGUGCCUUCAGCAACCAUCGGCCAGCCAGGAUCUGAAUGCAGAACGCAACAGGAAUGGUGAGAGAGUGAGGCUGGAAGAGGAUGUGGCUCCACACACUGGAGAAGUCCUUCCAGGAGCAGCACUUGAUGGGGAUAAAGCCAACUGGGGCCCUGCAGAGCUGGGUGGGAGUCAGUUCCCCCCAACAUGGCGGACAGGAAGCAGGUUCCAUCAGCUCCUUGCCAACCUGAAGGGAGACAGAGAUGAGGUUUCACUUGAUAAUGCCAGGCUUCAGGGAGAACAAGAAGGAUGUCACCAUGAAGGAUGCUGUUGUGAAAAGGAGCGCACGAGAGAAGCAGCCAAGGCACUGAGGCUGGAGCAGGCAAACCACAGGUUGCAGGGAGAGCUGGCCCACCUCAAGCGUGAGCUGGAACAGUGCCUGCAGGCUGUGUCUGACCUGGAGGACUGCAAUGGGAAGAGUUACUGCAAGAUUUCCCAGCUGGAAGAGGAGAAUGAGAAACUGAAGGGGGACCUGGGCCAGCUGCACAAAGCUGUGUCUGAGAAUGUCAGGAAAGCCAGGGGUAGGAUGAAGCAUGUUGCCCUGGAAAACAGAGAGCUCAGGGCUCUCAUCUCAGAGCUUGGGGUCAGCUAUAAAGGGCUGAUAAAGGACACAAUGGUAGGGAUAGAGGACAUGGUCUGGGCUCUGCAGGAGGAAAACAAGCACCUUGUAGACAGGGUCCAAGGCCUGGAGCAGGAGGUCCUACAGAUGAGCAAAGGUCUGGGGGAAGAAAAGUGGUAUCCUCAGGGAAAUUCCAAGAUGGAGGGUGACUGUGGACACACUGAAGACAAAGAGAUCCAGGUGACUAUGUUUUCAAGGCAACUGAUCACAAGAGCCUGUGGGUCACCCUUGAAUGAGAAAUCAGGUGUGACAGGAGGGCAGGCAGGACAUUCCUUAGAUUUGGAAGAUUCUAGAGGCAAGGCUGUUGUUAAUACUGUCUCAUCAGUUUGUGCAGUCACCGAAGGGCCUCAGGAAGCACACACCAAUGGGGCAAGGGGAGAUGGUGCUCGGCUGCAGAAAGAACAGAAGACACCAUCAUGUUCCAGGCAACAAGGACAGCCUCAGGGGUCCCUGACCCACAGCCCCCAGCUCCAGAAGUCCAAGGCCACUGCCUCUGAGGAAGACCCGGAACUGUGCAUACAGCGGCUCCAUCACCAGGUGCGGACCCUACAGUGCCAGCUCAGGGACCAGGGCUGGACACUGAGGGAGCUGCAGGCGGCUCGAGAUGAGGCAGUGGGCCUCCAGGAUAAGCUCAAAGUCAAGCUCGAGGAGCUUUGGGAACAGCAGCAAGAAGCACGCCUGGCCAUGGGGCCUCUGAAGGCCAAGCUGGCUUCCCUGGUCCACAAGUGCCAGGAGAGGAACCGCCUGAUUGAGCACCUGCUGCAGGAGCUGCCGAGACACGAGCCCAAGAAGCACCUGCUCUUUGAACUGGCACAGAACAUGCUUGAUGAUGUGGCAUUGGCUGAGUAUACCGCCACCUUCCUGACCCCGGGAGCCCCAGAGACAGGCCACCACCUCGAUGUGAGCUCCAACGGGACAGCAGCCAGAGGAGGAGCUCAGGACUAUCUACUUAAUUCUGAAACAGAUAGUGUCCUUCAAAGACUGUGGGGUGUGGAGUCCUGGUCCCCUCCAGGGACUGAGUGGAUAUCACAGACGGGUCCACCUGGUUCCCCAAAGAUCAAGAUGUAGAACUUCUCAGCUCCUUCUCCAGCAGCACGUCUGCCUGCAAGCUGCCAUGCUUCCCGCCACCACAAUUAUGGACUAAACCUCUGAAACUGAAAGAAGACAGCACCACCAGGCACAUCAUGCUGGCCAAGAUGAAUGUCUGUCCCAGAUGACCAAUGGAGCAGAGGUGGCCCUGUGAUGUGUGGUCCUUUCAAGAGCUGAGUUACAAGCCGUAUCACCACCCCUUUACCAAGUCAUCAUGAGGCAAUGUUUCUCUCUGCACAAGACCAACGAGAGCUUCAGAAGCCCCCAGCAUUGGCAUGGAGCAGUGACAGGACCCUGGGAUCUGGAGUUCCCAGGUUGGCUGUGUCACUUGCACAAAUGACUUACCCUUCUUAGUCUGUUUGGGAGUCUUUCUGCCCAGCUGACAGUCAUGCAUGAUGGCGCCAUUACUGGCAAGUCAUCCUGACACUUCAGGAUGGUGGCCCAUGUUUCGCAAGCAUCUUGGUGUUUGACAGCUAUCCUCUGCUCACCUCCCUUAUGUCAUUCAGGACUUGCUGCCUUGAGGCACACAUAGUAUCACUGAUGUCUCUUCUACCUGCAGCAGGUGACAAACCUGCAGGGAACAUUUUACAGUGAGUGACCCUGGUGGUGAUGUGAACAUCAUGGAGGUUCUACAAAAGCCACAGCUGAAUGGAGGGCUCAGCUGUGCUGGAAAUUAUCUAGGGAGAGCCCACUCACAGCUGUUGUUAGAUUCUCAAAGGAAAUAAACUUAGUGUUAAGCACCUUAGUCUAGUAGGGAGAGGACUCUACAGGGGAUGAGACAGCUGACUCUGCUCCUAACUUGCUGGUGACCCUUGUGCUACUCCUUGGCCUCUAAGGUCCUCUGGUCCUCACUUGUAUGGUGAAUGCACUCACGUUUUCCAAUUCAUUGGCAGCUGUGACACCAUCCAGGCUGCAGUCCCUCCUAGCAUCGUGGCUCAGUUAUGAACACUCCUAUUCCUGGUUUCUGCUGAGGAGCAGGCUCUAGCUCAUGGGAAAGCUUCAGACAGACUCUCUGCUUCCAGGAAGAGGGAGGAGAGCUGCUUUUGUCAAACACAGGCCACUUCUAGCAACAAUGUCCUCCACUUUUGUCCAAGAGAGUCACAGGACCCCAAGCAAGCAGCUCAUACCAGCACCUUGUUCCAUUUCUGUGUUCUUAUCCAGGGGGUUUAGCUUCCUUGAGGGGGUGUGAUGUUUCCAUUUAAGCUGAAGAGUGAUGAGGCUGGCUGGCUCUGGCAGAUGGGUAUCCAACAGGACCUUUUGAUAUCUAGGCACCCCCAGAAGGAAAACCAGGAUUCUGCCUGGCUAAUCCUUCAGAUGCCAUCUCCCUAGCCUUGCUGCUGAGUAUCCAAGUGAAUAAUAGAAUUAAGCUCUGGGUUCUUCCCAAACUCAAUAUAUAAUUAAGCAGGUAUAUAUUGGGUUUGGGAAGAACCCAGAGCUUUGGUCAGUGAGGGAGGAGUGACAGGCAGGUGCUAUAAAAACUUAUAUGUUCAAAUGUAGAGAAUCUAGCUCACAGCAGACACACAGCUACCCUUGGAAUAUCUGGCCAAAAUCAUAUCUUUGUGACUUGUGUUUUUGUUUGGGCAGAAGGCACAGAGUGUAAACUUAGUGUCUUGAUCAUCUCAGCCAUUCAGUUCAGUGCACUGAGCACAUCCACACACUCCGUGCUGUGCUGCCAUGGCCAUCUCCCGAGCUCCUCUGUCUUCUCAGUUGAAACCCUUCUUCCACCAGGAGGGCACAGGCAGCCUCCCACUGGCUCACUCCAGGACUCACAGGCACUUGAUACCAUGGUUUAAUGCUUUCCAGAUGUUGUUUUUUCAUUCAAACAAUAGCCCUGACUAAGAGCCAGGCCAAUUCCUGAGCUCCUGCAGCAGGAGUCCACUGUGGUCAGCCCAUCAGUGGCUCUGCUGCAUGGCCCUUCUGAAUAGUCCUUCUCCCUGACUUUGCAUGCAGGGCUCUCCAUUGCCUGGAGGUGGGUUUCUCAUCUGCUUGUGUCCAUCUCCAGGUGGUCUCCAGUCCCAGGUCCUACAGGUCUUCCUUCCCAGUCAGCAUGGAUGCUGAUGUAUCCUCCUUUCCCAAGCCUGGACAGAGACUUGUGAAGCCUCCCUUGCCCCUGUGCCAACUCGAGCCUCUCCAUCCCCACCACCAGAGGGGGGGACCACACAUGCUAGAAUCCUUUGAGGUCAGAACCCCUUUGGGCUUUGGAUGAGAUGGAGCACAGAUGGAAAAGCCUCUCACAUUCUGUGGAAAUAGACCAGUCUGGUGCUACUUGACUUUCAUGUGCUAGCUAGAAGACAGAGACCACCUGGCAUAGGGAGGACAAAAAGGAUUUCAAGCCAGAGCCACAAGGCUGCAGUGCUGUCUGAGGCUCUGACACUGAAGACACUCCCUAUCCCGUUUUCUCACCUGGAAACCUGGGUUCUAGCACACCUGCUCCAGCAUCUGCCAGGGGUGCUGAUGAAUGGGCUGGGGGUGGGGGGAAGCACUUUGCAAACUCAAGCACAAAAAAGACACUUCAUUCAGGUCAUUACUUUGGUAUGCAUUUAUGGUGCAUCUACUGUGUGCAUCGUGAGCAACGUGGCCUGUCUGCCUCAAGAUGAUUUGGAAAACGUCCCUGGACUGAGAAGGAUUGUCUGUCAGAUGGCUGCACUACACAUUCGUAGAGUAUGACUAACAACAGCCAGAGAGUUGGCAUGGCAACGUUUCCCCCUGAACUGCAAGGCAGUAUGCUUAAAAUAGGUACACGGGAGGUGUGGCAGCAGCCGAGACGGAUAGCGCUACAGCCUGAAAUGGGUAGUAGGCUCAGGGUGCUCAUGCCCUUGUCUUUCCCCAGCAGGUCAUCAGUGGAGGGACUGCAAUGGCAGACCCAGAAGCAUCUCCCGUGGGAGUUGGAGGAGACUAGGCCUCACUAUAAACACCCUUCCUCCCUGAAGCCCAGAAAGCUUAAGUGGGACAUCCUUGGCCAAGGGACCCCAGAUGGGGCUGACCCUGGCUCUCAUGUCUCUUGUGGACUUCUGGGCCCACAGUACGGGCUCUUCUGAUUGAGGGUGCAGUUCACUUAGAGCCUGAGUUCCAGUCCUCCUUUUUUAUGGAGUUCCUGUGUGGGAUCCUCCUAAAAUACUCUUGUUUGUGGUUGGACUUACAGGACAGGUUUAAAUCUUUUUCUCCCUCAAUGCUCAGGCCAGCAGAACUGAUCAAAAGUGCAUGGAUCAGGCACGGGGCUGAAGACUGGCUGGCGGAGUACCUGGAUGUGUGAAGCCCUGGGUUCCAUCCCAGCCAUGUACACUGGCUGUGGUGGUGAACUACAGUGAUCCCAGCACUCCAGAGCAGGGAGGCAGGAGGAUCAGAAGUCCAACUAACCUUCAGCUAAAUAACAAGUUUGAGACCAACAUGGUAUACAUAGAUCUUGCCUCACACCAAACCAAACCAUGAAUUGAGCAAAAUAUGUUGCUGUAACCUUGCCAUCAAGCCCUUGGGAGGCAGAAGCAGGAGGAUCCAGAGUUCAAGGCUAGCCUGGGCUAUGUGAAACUGUUUUAUCAAAAUGUUCCAUUUUAUCAAAAUGAACCAUUUUGUAAUGAGAUUCAUCUGUGGGUCUGGUUCAUCAUCACUGCAGCGGAUGGGGACCCAGAUCUCAGGCAAGUGAUCCCAUGCUCUCUUUGCUCAGCAGGUCAUUGAGUGAGGUUUAUGAUUUUAGAGUUUUCUUCUCCUAUAAGCUCUGAGCUGUUUGAAAGAGAUUCAUGGCUCCUGUUUGCUUUUGAGAUGAGAUCCUAGGUCUGGAAGGUGAAACUCCCCCCCCCCUUCUUCAUUCUGUUCUUCCUUCAUUCUCUCCUUCCUUCCGCUUCCCUUUUCUGUCUUUUAUGGUUUUUUUUUUGGGGGGGGAGUUGUUUGAGACUGUCUCAUGACCUUAUGGAGCCCAGGAUGGUUUUGAACUCCAGAUUCCUCUGUAUCUGCCUCCCUAGUCCUGGGAUUGCUAGCACGUGCUACUCCUGGCUUGGUAAGUGAGACUUUUUGAGGUACCAACUUGUGAGAAUGGGGGCACUAGACAGUUCUGUCAUCUUUCAGACACUCCGCAUGUUCUCCUUGUUGAGACAGUGGGUGCUGGGCUCACCUGCAAAGGCUGUUCUGGGUGGGGCUUGAGCUCACCUUCAGAGGCUACCCUGAGUGGGGCCUGGGCAGGGAUGCUCUGGGGAAGCUGAGUGGGGCAGCUGUGGAGAUAAAUAUUCACUGCAGACAGUGGACCCCAAAUCCUUCCAGCCCUGUCCUUCCCUGAAAUCAUCAAGUUUCCAUGCACCACUGCGAGCAUCUCCUGUGCUCUAUUGUAGUUAUUUUUACUCUUCCCUGGAAAAAAACUGUUCAGGCAGGAGGUUCCCAUCUUUGGAGUAUUUCUGGCCACAAGGCAGUUUGGUAACAUGAAAGCUGAGACCCUUUUAAGCCUCGGUGAUCCUUGUGGAGCCAGAACACACAGUGAGAGAUGGCCUUCAGUGCCUGUGACAAUUCCUGAUUCUGGGACUUUGGUGGCCUAUCACUGCAGAACUAUCUGAGAGCCCUUGCACCCUGAAUUCUUCUGGGCUAGAAGCAUCUGCCAUGAGAGUCAAAUCUAUCAACUGCUCAAUGAACAGCAGCAACUUUCUCUCCUGCCUUGGUGCCACUGGCCUGGUGCGCACCAGCUUGGCUUUGCCAUCCAUACUCUGGUGCCUUACAGAAGCAGAGGAGAGAACACCCCGGAGGCCUGAUGACAUGGUUAGCUCCCUUCCUCAUAUGACGGAAAGUUCUAGAAAAAGAUAAUUCAUACCUUGGACCUAAAUGCAUUUGGAAUAAGUCAGUUCACCAUGGGGUUGAACGGCAAGGUUUUCUUUAUCUGACCUUUGCUCAUGCUCUGAUUUUGGCUACACUCCAAUCUGACUUACAUUACGGGAACAAUGAACCAGUUCCACAAAGGAUAAGGCUUUCUUCAAAAGCAUGGUUUUUGGAGGCUGUUUUUGUGACAAAGAGUGGCCUGUUGUUGUCUUUACAUUAUGAGCAAAGGGGAAGAGAAAAAUGAAUGAGAUUGCCAAACAUGGCUGAAAACUUGAUCUCAAUCUGUAUCAUUUUCGUUUCCAACUUGAGUGAUAUGAUACAGUGUUUGUAAAUAUGACCUUGGAAGUGAUGGGGGAGUCCAGCUGUCACUUCGACUUUUCCCUGAGGCAAAUACAAAGUCAGCAGAGGUGGGAGGGUGAGUGAGGGGCUUUGAACUUUGGCUGUGCCACCAACCAGCUGUGCAAGCUCAGACUGGUUCUCUCAGUCCCUCCAGAAGAACAGUGGGAGGGCAUGAGGGUUAGAAUGUGUUUCUGAAAACACCCAAAGAAUGAUGACAGUCACCAAGGACUUUCCUCACUGCUCUGACAGCAAGCUAUAUGCAGACACUUCUCAGGAAGUGAGAGCAUAGGCUACCCCCUGAGCUGGAGACUGAAGUUUAGGCUUUCCCAACCAGCUUUUCAUGGCCAGUGAGGGAAGGGCAUAGGAAUCAAUGAUUGGGAUGUUGCAGAGAGUCCCUGGCCUUCUCAGUCCUUUGGGGCUAGAACUGGGAGGAGAAAAUUGCAUCUGCAAAGCACAAUAGCAUCGGGGAAAGUGCACUUUCUAACAAGGUCCUAGGUGACCCAUAACCUUACAGCCACCUGAUGGAAUCAGACUCUUCCACAGCCACGUGACCAAACCCAAGGUCAAAAUGUUGGCAGGCCUCUCAUGUCCCCCAUUCUACUCCACAGGAACAUGGUUCAGUGACAUGGAGAUCCCUUUCCUGUUGGGCGCUCUACAGCAGGGCCCCCACUGAGUGAUCGGCAGUGGCUGUCCCACAGCCCCUGCCUUCAGUGCAAUGAGCAGAGUGAUUGGCGUGUGUCAGCCCCUCCCAGAACCUCUCAGACCUGUGCAACUCAGGCUCAGCAGCCUGCCGGGAUUUCUAAUGACAAGUCUGUCUUGUGUAAUUUAGGAUGUUCUCUUGUUACCCAGAGGUAUUUUUCUAUGUUAGUGAAAUGUAUACUUUGUGUAAUUUUGUACAUUAAAACAUAUGCUUUUUUAUCAUAAUUAAAGUUUUUUUUUUUCUUUUCA